rnacentral:misc_RNA from 1 species
AACUUUUGACAAUGGAUCUCUUGGUUCUGGCAUCGAUGAAGAACGCAGCGAAACGCGAUAAGUAAUGUGAAUUGCAGAAUUCAGUGAAUCAUCGAAUUUUUGAACGCAUAUUGCGCCCUUUGGCAUUCCGAAGGGCAUGCCUGUUCGAGCGUCAUUUAUAACCCUCAAGCCCAGCUUGAUGUUGGACGUCCACCCGCCGAGAGGUGUGGUGGGUCCUAAAAGCAAUGGCGGCGUCGUGUGGACCCCCGGUGCAAGGAGCUUUUAACGGCACGAACUCGCGGUGGUCGAUCGGCCUGGCUUGAAUAUCUAACUUCUUAUCAAGUUGACCUCGAAUCAGGCAGGGAUACCCGCUGAACUUAAGCAUAUCAAUAAGCGGAGGCU